CAUGUCUUUGGAUUGUGGGAGGAAGCAGGAGUAUCCGGAGAAAACCCACACAGUGUUGGGACAGUGGCAGGGGGAGUUUGACUGGGGCGGUACACCUGUCAAACAGCGGUCCUGAGAUCAGAGAGGACAGAAACUUCCCGUGGAGCAGACGGGCAAAUGAAAAGCAGGGCCUCAUGAUCCGUCUGAGUUUUGGGGUUUUAAGUAGGAGGCGUCAGAAAUG
rnacentral:ncRNA from 1 species